UAGGGAAUCUUCCACAAUGGACGCAAGUCUGAUGGAGCAACGCCGCGUGAGUGAAGAAGGUUUUCGGAUCGUAAAGCUCUGUUGUUGGUGAAGAAGGAUAGAGGUAGUAACUGGCCUUUAUUUGACGGUAAUCAACCAGAAAGUCACGGCUAACUACGUGCCAGCAGCCGCGGUAAUACGUAGGUGGCAAGCGUUGUCCGGAUUUAUUGGGCGUAAAGCGAGCGCAGGCGGAAGAAUAAGUCUGAUGUGAAAGCCCUCGGCUUAACCGAGGAACAGCAUCGGAAACUGUUUUUCUUGAGUGCAGAAGAGGAGAGUGGAAUUCCAUGUGUAGCGGUGGAAUGCGUAGAUAUAUGGAAGAACACCAGUGGCGAAGGCGACUCUCUGGUCUGCAACUGACGCUGAGGCUCGAAAGCAUGGGUAGCGAACAGG
rnacentral:rRNA from 1 species